rnacentral:rRNA from 1 species
GACGAACGCUGGCGGCGUGCUUAACACAUGCAAGUCGAACGGAAAGGCCCUGCUUUUGUGGGGUGCUCGAGUGGCGAACGGGUGAGUAACACGUGAGUAACCUGCCCUUGACUUUGGGAUAACUUCAGGAAACUGGGGCUAAUACCGGAUAGGAGCUCCUGCUGCAUGGUGGGGGUUGGAAAGUUUCGGCGGUUGGGGAUGGACUCGCGGCUUAUCAGCUUGUUGGUGGGGUAGUGGCUUACCAAGGCUUUGACGGGUAGCCGGCCUGAGAGGGUGACCGGCCACAUUGGGACUGAGAUACGGCCCAGACUCCUACGGGAGGCAGCAGUGGGGAAUAUUGCACAAUGGGCGGAAGCCUGAUGCAGCAACUCCGCGUGCGGGAUGACGGCCUUCGGGUUGUAACCCGCUUUCGCCUGUGACGAAGCGUGAGUGACGGUAAUGGGUAAAGAAGCACCGGCUAACUACGUG